rnacentral:rRNA from 1 species
AUUGAACGCUGGCGGCAGGCCUAACACAUGCAAGUCGAACGGUAGCACAGAGAGCUUGCUCUCGGGUGACGAGUGGCGGACGGGUGAGUAAUGUCUGGGAAACUGCCCGAUGGAGGGGGAUAACUACUGGAAACGGUAGCUAAUACCGCAUAACGUCGCAAGACCAAAGUGGGGGACCUUCGGGCCUCAAACCAUCGGAUGGGCCCAGAUGGGAUUAGCUAGUAGGUGGGGUAAUGGCUCACCUAGGCGACGAUCCCUAGCUGGUCUGAGAGGAAUACCAGCCACACUGGAACUGAGACACGGUCCAGACUCCUACGGGAGGCAGCAGUGGGGAAUAUUGCACAAUGGGCGCAAGCCUAAUGCAGCCAUGCCGCGUGUAUGAAGAAGGCCUUCGGGUUGUAAAGUACUUUCAGCGGGGAGGAAGGCGGUGAAGUUAAUAGCUUCACCGAUUGACGUUACCCGCAGAAGAAGCACCGGCUAACUCCGUGCCAGCCGCCGCCGUAA